AUACGGAGGGUGCAAGCGUUAAUCGGAAUUACUGGGCGUAAAGCGUACGUAGGCGGUCCGUUAAGUUAGAUGUGAAAGCCCCGGGCUUAACCUGGGAACUGCAUUUAAAACUGGCGAACUAGAGUUGAGUAGAGGGGAGUGGAAUUUCAGGUGUAGCGGUGAAAUGCGUAGAGAUCUGAAGGAACACCGGUGGCGAAGGCGACUCCCUGGACUCGAACUGACGCUGAGGUACGAAAGCGUGGGUAGCAAACGGGAUUAGAUACCCCAGUAGUCC
rnacentral:rRNA from 1 species